rnacentral:rRNA from 1 species
GAUGAACGCUGGCGGCGUGCCUAAUACAUGCAAGUCGAGCGAACAGACGAGGAGCUUGCUCCUCUGACGUUAGCGGCGGACGGGUGAGUAACACGUGGAUAACCUACCUAUAAGACUGGGAUAACUUCGGGAAACCGGAGCUAAUACCGGAUAAUAUAUUGAACCGCAUGGUUCAAUAGUGAAAGACGGUUUUGCUGUCACUUAUAGAUGGAUCCGCGCCGCAUUAGCUAGUUGGUAAGGUAACGGCUUACCAAGGCAACGAUGCGUAGCCGACCUGAGAGAGUGUUCGGCCACACUGGAACUGAGACACGGCCCAGACUCCUACGGGAGGCAGCAGUAGGGAAUCUUCCGCAAUGGGCGAAAGCUUGACGGAGCAACGCCGCGUGAGUGAUGAAGGUCUUCGGAUCGUAAAACUCUGUUAUUAGGGAAGAACAAAUGUGUAAGUAACUAUGCACGUCUUGACGGUACCUAAUCAGAAAGCCACGGCUAACUACGU